rnacentral:lncRNA from 1 species
CACCAUUCAUGCUUCGAAAUCGAACGAAACUGGACAAGAUUUGAUUCAAGCCAAAACAACCCAGUCAAACUAAUCUAUUUCAAACCCAGUCAAGCCCAACAACUAUACCAAAUUUUCAAACAGGAUGUCUACUAAACAAAAUGCCAUACCAUUGCAUGCGAGUAAAAAACCAUAAUUAAUCAAAACAAAAUAUCUAUUAAUCACACAUGCAAACAGAAUCAUGAGAUUGCGUCUACACCUAUUUUCGUGAGAUUAGGUCGGAGUACUUCGGCUUCAAAAUCGAACGAAACAGGAUAGGGUUUGAGGAACAAUCGGAAAAUCGAUAGCGCGAGGGAAAGAAUCGGCGACAAUGGGGUCUAAGGAGGUGACGUGCUCGUAAGGAUAGAUCGAAGUGUCUAACUGGCGAUUGGCCGGCCGACAAAGGGCGUAAAGUUGCCGACUCUAGCGACGGAUGUGGUGCCGAAGCCGUUAGGAAAGCUUGAAGGGAAUGCAUUUUAGAGAGAGAUAAGGGAGUAACAGCUAGGUUGUUUUGAAGGGAACGCGAGAGAGAGAGUAACAGUAAGUUGUUA